rnacentral:snoRNA from 1 species
CCUGGGUGAUGAGAUGCGACUACUUGACUUCAAUCAUGGAGGUCUGCAAUUAGCUCUAUCUGACU